AGGGUUUGGGCGGCCGCUUGUGUCGCCCAUUGUUUUUCUCACGCAAUGUGAUUUCAGCAACCACAAUGGAGGUUUGGUUGAAAUUGGUUACGACGACGUCGAGUUGGCGGCGGAGGAAGACUCGGCAUGAAGGCCAGAAAAUGGUGUGGAACGUAGUGGUAAUAGUACGCGCCCCGCUCCGAAACAAAGAAAAAGGUGCGUGCCGCACUCACGAGAGACUGCCAGUGAGAUACUGGAGGAAGGUGGGGAUGACGUCAAGGCCGCAUGGCCCUUAUGGGCUGGGCCACACACGUGCUACAAUGGCAAUGACAAUGGGAAGCAAGGCUGUAAGGCGGAGCGAAUCCGGAAAGAUUGCCUCAGUUCGGAUUGUUCUCUGCAACUCGGGAACAUGAAGUUGAAAUCGCUAGUAAUCGCGGAUCAGCAUGCCGCGGUGAAUAUGUACCCGGGCCCUGUACA
rnacentral:ncRNA from 1 species